AGUUUGAUCCUGGCUCAGAUUGAACGCUGGCGGGAUGCUUUACACAUGCAAGUCGAACGGCAGCACGGACUUCGGUCUGGUGGCGAGUGGCGAACGGGUGAGUAAUGUAUCGGAACGUGCCUAGUAGCGGGGAUAACUACGCGAAAGCGUAGCUAAUACCGCAUACGCCCUUCGGGGGAAAGCGGGGACCUUCGGGCCUCGCACUAUUAGAGCGGCUGAUAUCGGAUUAGCUAGUUGGUGGGGUAACGGCUCACCAUGGGCGACGAUCCGUAGCUGGUUUGAGACCAGACCAGCCACACUGGGAUCAGAGACACGGCCCAGACUCACGGGAGGCAGCAGUGGGGAAUUUUGGAUACCGGGGAAACCCUGAUCCAGCCGGGUCCCGCGUGUGCGAUGAAGGCCUGCCAAAGUGUUCCUUGCAGGAAAGAAACGGCACGGGAUAAUACCCCGUGCAACUGACGGUACCUGCAGAAUAAGCACCGAUAACUACGUGCCAGCAGCCGCGGUAAUACGUAGGGUGCAAGCGUUAAUCGGAAUUACCGGGCGAAGUUGCGCAGGCAGCUCGGAAAGAAAGAUGUGAAAUCCAGAGCUUAACUUUGGAACUGCAUUUUUAACUACCGAGCUAGAGUGUGUCAGAGAGAACGGCGUGGCAUAGAAAUGCGUAGAUAUGAGAACACCGAUGGCGAAGGCAGCCUCCUGGGAUAACACUGACGCUCAUGCACGAAAGCGUGGGAGCAACAGGAUUAGAUACCCUGGUAGUCCACGCCCUAAACGAUGUCAACUAGCUGUUGGGGCCUUCGGGCUCAUAGCGCAGCUGGUCAGGUGAAGGACUGCCUUGGGGAGUACGGUCGCAAAGAUUAAAACUCAAAGGAAUUGACGGGGACUCCGCACAAGCGGUGGAUGAUGGAUUAAUUGAUGCAACGCGAAAAACCUACUCACCCUGACAUGUCUGAAUCCCGAAGAGAUUUGGGAGUGCUCGCAAGAGAACCGGAACACAGGUGCUGCAUGGCUGUCGUCAGCUCGUGUCGUGAGAUGUUGGGUCUCCGCAACGAGCGCAACCCUGUCAUUAGUUGCUACGAAAGGGCACUCUAAUGAGACUGCCGGUGACAAACCGGAGGAAGGUGGGGAUGACGUCAAGUCCUCAUGGCCCUUAUGGUAGGCUUCAAGCACGUCAUACAAUGAAUGGGACAGAGGGUCGCCAACUCCAUGGAGGGGGAGCUAAUCCCGGUAGAAACCGAUCGUAGUCCGAUCGCAGGUCUGCAACUCGACUGCGUGAAGUCGGAAUCGCUAGUAAUCGCGGAUCAGCAUGUCGCGGUGAAUACGUUCCCGGUCUUGUACACACCGCCCGUCACACCAUGGGAGUGGUUUUACCAGAAGUGUUAGCCUAACCGUAAGAGAGUGGCGAUUACCACGGUAGAUUCAUGACUGGGGUGAAGUCGUAACAAGGUAA
rnacentral:rRNA from 1 species